AUUGAACGCUGGCGGCAUGCCUUACACAUGCAAGUCGAACGGCAGCACGGGUGCUUGCACCUGGUGGCGAGUGGCGAACGGGUGAGUAAUACAUCGGAACAUGUCCUGUAGUGGGGGAUAGCCCGGCGAAAGCCGGAUUAAUACCGCAUACGAUCUACGGAUGAAAGCGGGGGACCUUCGGGCCUCGCGCUAUAGGGUUGGCCGAUGGCUGAUUAGCUAGUUGGUGGGGUAAAGGCCUACCAAGGCGACGAUCAGUAGCUGGUCUGAGAGGACGACCAGCCACACUGGGACUGAGACACGGCCCAGACUCCUACGGGAGGCAGCAGUGGGGAAUUUUGGACAAUGGGCGAAAGCCUGAUCCAGCGAUGCCGCGUGUGUGAAGAAGGCCUUCGGGUUGUAAAGCACUUUUGUCCGGAAAGAAAUCCUUGGCUCUAAUACAGUCGGGGGAUGACGGUACCGGAAGAAUAAGCACCGGCUAACUACGUG
rnacentral:rRNA from 1 species